rnacentral:rRNA from 1 species
GAUGAACGCUGGCGGCGUGCUUAACGCAUGCAAGUCGAACGGAAAGGCUCCUGCUUGCAGGGGUACUCGAGUGGCGCACGGGUGAGUAACACGUGGGUGAUCUGCCCUGCACUUCGGGAUAAGCCUUGGAAACUGGGUCUAAUACCGGAUAGGACGAUGUUUUGGAUGCCAUUGUGGAAAGUUUUUCGGUGUGGGUUGAGCUCGCGGCCUAUCAGCUUGUUGGUGGGGUAAUGGCCUACCAAGGCGUCGACGGGUAGCCGGCCUGAGAGGGUGUACGGCCACACUGGGACUGAGAUACGGCACAGACACCUACGGGAGGCAGCAGUGGGGAAGAUUGCACAAUGGGCGCAAGCCUGAUGCAGCGAGGCCGCGUGGGGGAUGACGGCCUUCGGGUUGUAAACUACUUGCGCUAGGGACGAAGCGUUUUGUGACGGUACCUAGAGAAGAAGCACCGGCUAACUACGUG